AGUUCGAUUAUGGCUCAGAUUGAACGCUGGCGGGAUGCUUUACACAUGCAAGUCGAACGGCAGCACGGACUUCGGUCUGGUGGCGAGUGGCGAACGGGUGAGUAAUGUAUCCGGAACGUGCCUAGUAGCGGGGGAUAACUACGCGAAAGCGUAGCUAAUACCGCAUACGCCCUUCGGGGGAAAGCGGGGACAGCAGACCUCGCACUAUUAGAGCGGCCGAUAUCGGAUUAGCUAGUUGGUGGAGUAACGGCUCACCAAGGCGACGAUCCGUAGCUGGUUUGAGAGGACGACCAGCCACACUGGGACUGAGACACGGCAGACUCCUACAGGAGGCAGCAGUGGGGAAUUUUGGACAAUGGGGAAACCUGAUCCAGCCAUCCCGCGUGUGCGAUGAAGGCCUUCGGGUUGUAAAGCACUUUUUGGCAGGAAAAAACGGCACGGGAUAAUACCCCGUGCAACUGACGGUACCUGCAGAAUAAGCACCGGCUAACUACGUGCCAGCAGCCGCGGUAGCCGUAAGUGCAAGCGUUAAUCGGAAUUACUGGGCGUAAAGCGUGCGCAGGCGGUUCGGAAGAAAGAUGUGAAAUCCCAGAGCUUAACUUUGGAACUCAUUUUUAACUACCGAGCUAGAGUGUGUCAGAGGGAGGUGGAAUUCCGCGUGUACAGCAGUGAAAUGCGUAGAUAUGCGGAGGAACACCGAUGGCGAAGGCAGCCUCCUGGGAUAACACUGACGCUCAUGCACGAAAGCGUGGGAGCAAACAGGAUUAGAUACCUAGUAGUCACGCCUAAACGAUGUCAACUAGCUGUUGGGGCCUUCUGAACGCUUGGUAGCGCAACUAACGCGUGAAGUUGACCGCCUGGGGAGUACGGUCGCAAGAUUUAAAGCUCAAAGGAAUUGACGGGGACCCGCACAAGCGGUGGAUGAUGUGGAUUAAUUCGAUGCAACGCGAAAAACCUUACCUACCCUUGACAUGUCUGGGAAUCGAAGAGAUUUGGGAGUGCUCGCAAGAGAACCGGAACACAGGUGCUGCAUGGCUGUCGUCGGCUCGUGUCGUGAGAUGUUGGGUUAAGUCCCGCAACAGGCGCAACCCUUGUCAUUAGUUGCUACGAAAGGGCACUCUAAUGAGACUGCCGGUGACAAACCGGAGGAAGGUGAGGAUGACGUCAAGUCCUCAUGGCCCUUAUGGUGGGGCUUCACACGUCAUACAAUGGUCGGGACAGAGGGUCGCCAACCCGCGGGGAGCAAUCCCAGAAACCCGAUCGUAGUCCGGAUCGCAGUCUGCAACUCGACUGCACGUGAAGUCGGAAUCGCUAGUAAUCGCGGAUCAGCAUGUCGCGGUGAAUACGUUCCCGGGUCUUGUACUCGCCCGUCUUACAUGGAGGUGGUUCUCAGAAGUAGUUAGCUAACAUCAGUGGGGCGUUGAGCCUACGAUUGGGAUUCACGGCUGGGAUGAAGUCAUAGCAAGAUAGCCUCUGACUG
rnacentral:rRNA from 1 species